rnacentral:rRNA from 1 species
AAUGAACGCUGGCGGCAUGCCUAACACAUGCAAGUCGAGCGGUUGAAGUGAGUUUGUUCCCGGAUUCAGCGGCGGACGGGUGAGUAAUGCCCAGGAAUCUGCCCUGUAUCGGGGGAUAACGUCCGGAUACGGGCGCUUAUCUCGUAUCCGAUCAGAGGGAGAAUGUGGGGGUUCUUCGGAUCUAACGCCAUUUGCUUAGCUUAGGUCGGAUUCGCUAGUUGGUGGGGUAAAGGCUUACCAAGGGGACGAUCCGUAACUGGCCUGAGAGGAUGACCAGCCACACUGGGACUGAGACACGGUCCAGACUCCUACGGGAGGCAGCAGUAGGGAAGAUUGGACAAUGGGGGAAAGCCUGAACGAGCAACGCCGCGUGAGUGAAGAAGGUCGUCGGAUCGUAAAGAUCUUUAAGAAGGGAGGAAGGGAAGUAAGUUUAUACCGUGCUGAUUGUGAGUGUACCACACAAUAAAGACCCGGCUAACUCCGUG